UAUCGGAACGUGCCCUGGAGUGGGGGAUAACUAGUCGAAAGACUAGCUAAUACCGCAUACGAUCUACGGAUGAAAGUGGGGGAUCGCAAGACCUCAUGCUCGUGGGGCGGCCGAUAUCUGAUUAGCUAGUUGGUGGGGUAAAGGCCUACCAAGGCAUCGAUCAGUAGCUGGUCUGAGAGGACGACCAGCCACACUGGGACUGAGACACGGCCCAG
rnacentral:rRNA from 1 species